rnacentral:rRNA from 1 species
GAAUAUUGGUCAAUGGGCGAGAGCCUGAACCAGCCAAGUAGCGUGAAGGAUGACCGCCCUAUGGGUUGUAAACUUCUUUUAUAUGGGAAUAAAGGGUGCCACGUGUGGCAUUUUGUAUGUACCAUAUGAAUAAGGAUCGGCUAACUCCGUGCCAGCAGCCGCGGUAAUACGGAGGAUCCGAGCGUUAUCCGGAUUUAUUGGGUUUAAAGGGAGCGUAGGUGGACAUGUAAGUCAGUUGUGAAAGUUUGCGGCUCAACCGUAAAAUUGCAGUUGAAACUGCGUGUCUUGAGUACAGUAGAGGUGGGCGGAAUUCGUGGUGUAGCGGUGAAAUGCUUAGAUAUCACGAAGAACUCCGAUUGCGAAGGCAGCUCACUGGACUGCAACUGACACUGAUGCUCGAAAGUGUGGGUAUCAAACAGGAUUAGAUACCCUGGUAGUCCACACAGUAAACGACGAAUACUCGCUGUUUGCGAUAUACAGUAAGCGGCCAAGCGAAAGCAUUAAGUAUUCCACCUGGGGAGUACGCCGGCAACGGUGAAACUCAAAGGAAUUGACGGGGGCCCGCACAAGCGGAGGAACAUGUGGUUUAAUUCGAUGAUACGCGAGGAACCUUACCCGGGCUUAAAUUGCAAAUGAAUAUGCCGGAAACGGCAUAGCCGCAAGGCAUUUGUGAAGGUGCUGCAUGGUUGUCGUCAGCUCGUGCCGUGAGGUGUCGGCUUAAGUGCCAUAACGAGCGCAACCCUUAUCUUCAGUUACUAACAGGUCAUGCUGAGGACUCUGGAGAGACUGCCGUCGUAAGAUGUGAGGAAGGUGGGGAUGACGUCAAAUCAGCACGGCCCUUACGUCCGGGGCUACACACGUGUUACAAUGGGGGGUACAGAAGGCCGCUACACAGCGAUGUGAUGCCAAUCCCUAAAGCCCCUCUCAGUUCGGAUCGAAGUCUGCAACCCGACUUCGUGAAGCUGGAUUCGCUAGUAAUCGCGCAUCAGCCACGGCGCGGUGAAUACGUUCCCG